GAGAUCUCCGGCUGAACAAAUCAGUACUGCUGAACUGGUACACCUCACAACAGAUUCAGACGAUGAGUCUGAGGUGUGUGUCAAUGUAGCUCCCAGGAAACGAAAAAACAUAGAUGACUCUACACCACACCAAACUCCUCAGGUUAAGCUAAUUAAUGUGACGGGAACCCCAGAUGACGUACACGUCUCAGACACAGGGUUUAUUGAUCUGACGCAGGAUUUUGAAGAACAUGGUCCUAGCACCAGCGAUGCUGAUAGGAUAACAGACGCCCUGCCUACUUACGCAGCAGCGAGAUCUCCGGCUGAACAAAUCAGUACUGCUGAACUGGUACACCUCACAACAGAUUCAGACGAUGAGUCUGAGGUGUGUGUCAAUGUAGCUCCCAGGAAAUGAAAAAACAUAGAUGACUCUACACCACACCAAACUCCUCAGGUUAAGCUAAUUAAUGAUAGAGGCAUCGACUGUGCUGAACAAAUAAUCGACCUCACAUCAGAUUCUGACAUAAAAUCUGACGUCGCUGAGCCUCAGAGGAAGCGGAAAAAACAUAAGAGGAUCUAAUUCACACCAAACUCCACAAGAUAAGACACGUCAGGAGCGCUGAUGAUAUUUUAACAUGGACGGAAUCACAGGUCGUCGAAUGGGAUCGUUCGUCAUGGACCAGUGAUCGAUAUGACGAGGCUACAGUGAGAGCCAGGCAGACGCCAUAUCCUUUUUACAUUGAAAGAACACAAAGAGGAAGAAGAAGAAGUGCGGGAGACGGAGAGCAGAAAUGAUGAGCAGUAUGAUGUUCGGACUCUGGGUCGUGAAAUCAUUAAAAGAUCAGAUGAUGAGGCCAUAGCGAGACGUAACAGCACAACUACCAUUAAUAGGCGUUUUGAUGAACUUAAUAGCAGAUUGGAUGACAUUAAUAUCAGAUUGGAUGGUCACUUCAAAGAGAAUCAAAACAGAAUCGCCUCUGAAUUUUUAGCGAUUCAUAACAAAUUGGAUUACCACUUCCAAAUAAAUUGUGACAGAAUAGCAGAGUUUUUUGAAGUUCAUAACAGAUUGAAGCAUCUUAAUGCAUUGAUUCCUGAAAUAUUAGACCGUUUAUAUCAGAUGAAUCAGUCAUUAGAGGAAUCUCUCCAUAGAUUGCAGACAUGUAUCGAAGAGUAUCAUAAGCAUAUCCUUAGAGAAUUAAAUGAUCAGUUGAGAGAAAGACAAUUAACCGUUAGUCUUCUCAGUGCCAUGGUUACCUGUGUGCAUCCAAGUUAGAAAUGUAUAAUGGAUUAUGUAUUAGUUACAUCUGAUUGUAGUUGUUUUUCAGAACAGAAAUGUCAUAUUUUUCUGAUUGUUGUAUCUUUUAUUUGUUUUUUCUUUAAUUUUGUUUUAUUGCAUAUUAUGUUUUCGCUUUUGAGCUAAAAAAUAAAGAUUAAAAUGGAUGCAGAGAAAUCUUUUUCCAUAGCUGAAGCACCCAAAUGUCAACCAGACCAAACUCUCUCAGACAGAGUAUGCUUGAAAUACAAAAUGCAAAUCCGCAUCUCUUGUGUGAAAGAUUACAACAAUUGAUAAAUUUGUAUCCAGAUUUUGUAGAAACAACUUUUAAUGAUGUACCAUUACAGCAAACUUCUAAUUUGGAACAUUUGCAAUCUUCUAUUGACCAGAUUCCCGAUAUUAAUUUGUCCAAACGAUUACAGAAAUUAUUAAACACAUGUAACAUACUAUUAGCACAAGACGGCGGAGCUUUAAAUAAUAGUCACGGAUCAAUAAGUAAUGCAUCUACUGUCACGGCUCAGCCUGCAGCUCUGGUGCGAACUUCAACCAGCAAUGCAGCACCCCCUGAACCCCCUACCGGUACGUCACGACUAACACAGCCAGACAUUGAUACUUUGAUUUGUGAGGGCGGGGAAGUAAAUGGUUGCCGUAUAUUACCAAGACCCCAUUUCAAUAGCAUACAAUACCUAUUCAGCUCCUGAGAGACUGAAACCGAGAGACGCCUUGUUUGGGGGACGCACUAAUGCUUAUAAACUCUAUCACAAAACAGCUGAUGAUGAGAAAAUAAGUUACGUAGAUUUUACAAGCUUAUAUCCUUUCUGUCAGGCUAGGAAAACCUAUCCGAUCGGUCACCCCCAAAUCAUUUUCAAAGCUACCGUUUAUCCGCCCUGCAAAUUACGGCACCCCGUUCUCCCUUACCGAUGUGGCGGGAAACUUAUGUUCCCUUUACGUCGUACGUGCGCUAACGUUCAAAACCAGACAACAAACUGUAGCCAUACGGAUGAAGAGAGGGCCCUCACGGGCUCGACGAAGUUUAGCAUUUUCCUCAAAGGUCAGAUACAUUGUUUCGCGUUUACAUAAAGAAAAGGGAUGGAGACUGGGACUGGGACUGGAGAGUCUUAUUGGUCUGGUUGACAGCUAUGUGACUGCAUGUGACAGCACGCAAUGCAUCCUGGCCCACACCGAAAACAUUGUGAGGAAUUAAAAGACUCUCACUUUGCACAACAAAUCAGUCGUUAAAAGGUUUAAGGUGGUGUAUAAUAAACGUAGACUUUUGUCCGAUUUCACCACUCUUCAGAGUUAUUUUGUAAAAAG